rnacentral:rRNA from 1 species
UACGUAGGGGGCAAGCGUUGUCCGGAUUUAUUGGGCGUAAAGAGCGUGUAGGCGGCUUGGUAGGUCCGCUGUGAAAACUCGAGGCUCAACCUCGAGAUGUCGGCGGAAACCACUUGGCUAGAGUCCGGAAGAGGAGAGUGGAAUUCCCGGUGUAGCGGUGAGAUGCGCAGAUAUCGGGAAGAACACCUAUGGCGAAGGCAGCUCUCUGGGACGGUACUGACGCUGAGACGCGAAAGCGUGGGGAGCGAACAGG